UAAAGAUGCUGAAGGACGGGUGCAAUAUACAAAUCUAAUCUCAAGCAUGAACUGGAGGGAAUACCCUCUCCCAGCUUCAGAAGUUGCACAGUACCCCAGCAAGGGAUGGAAUGGAGAACCUCCAACUCAGCCAGUCAAGGUGAUCAACUAUAUAGCUUUGAUAGAGGAUCUGUUUGGCAAGCAGGAGUGAAGCAUGGAUGUUACUCCCAGCAACAUUGUAGAAAGGAUUAUCUGAAACCACAACUAGGUCAAUAGUUAUUUUCUUACAAUUAGUGCAGCUCAAAAGGCACACUGUUGACAUUGACGCAAUAGAAAUCAGCCAAAAGUGUAAAUGGAGGAUAAGAGGUUCACUAAUUGGCUCUAAAAAGAUGCAUUUGUUAUGAUGGAAAUGUUUGUCUCAGGUCUGAUAGAUUAAUUAACUAAAAAUAAAUUGGUACAUUUACAACA